rnacentral:rRNA from 1 species
CUAAUACAUGCAAGUCGAGCGCGGGAAGCAAGCAGAUCUCCUUCGGGGGUGACGCUUGUGGAACGAGCGGCGGACGGGUGAGUAACACGUGGGCAACCUACCUGUAAGACUGGGAUAACUCCGGGAAACCGGGGCUAAUACCGGAUGAUACAUAUCGUCGCAUGACGAGAUGUUGAAAGGCGGCAUAUGCUGUCACUUACAGAUGGGCCCGCGGCGCAUUAGCUAGUUGGUGAGAUAAAAGCUCACCAAGGCGACGAUGCGUAGCCGACCUGAGAGGGUGAUCGGCCACACUGGGACUGAGACACGGCCCAGACUCCUACGGGAGGCAGCAGUAGGGAAUCUUCCGCAAUGGACGAAAGUCUGACGGAGCAACGCCGCGUGAGUGAUGAAGGUUUUCGGAUCGUAAAACUCUGUUGUUAGGGAAGAACAAGUGCCAUUCGAAUAGGUUGGCACCUUGACGGUACCUAACCAGAAAGCCCCGGCUAACUACGUGCCAGCAGCCGCGGUAAUACGUAGGGGGCAAGCGUUGUCCGGAAUUAUUGGGCGUAAAGCGCGCGCAGGCGGUCCUUUAAGUCUGAUGUGAAAGCCCACGGCUCAACCGGGGAAGGUCAUUGGAACUGUUCCACUUGAGUGCAGAAGAGGAGAGUGGAAUUCCAUGUGUAGCGGUGAAAUGCCCAGAGAUAUGGAGGAACACCAGUGGCGAAGGCGGC